rnacentral:rRNA from 1 species
CUAAAUACUCUCUAGUGACCGAUAGUGAACCAGUACCGUGAGGGAAAGGUGAAAAGCACCCCGGAAGGGGAGUGAAAUAGAACCUGAAACCGUGUGCUUACAAGUAGUCAGAGCCCGUUAAUGGGUGAUGGCGUGCCUUUUGUAGAAUGAACCGGCGAGUUACGAUUUGAUGCAAGGUUAAGCAGUAAAUGUGGAGCCGUAGCGAAAGCGAGUCUGAAUAGGGCGUUUAGUAUUUGGUCGUAGACCCGAAACCAGGUGAUCUACCCUUGGUCAGGUUGAAGUUCAGGUAACACUGAAUGGAGGACCGAACCGACUUACGUUGAAAAGUGAGCGGAUGAACUGAGGGUAGCGGAGAAAUUCCAAUCGAACCUGGAGAUAGCUGGUUCUCUCCGAAAUAGCUUUAGGGCUAGCCUCAAGUGAUGAUUAUUGGAGGUAGAGCACUGUUUGGACGAGGGGCCCCUCUCGGGUUACCGAAUUCAGACAAACUCCGAAUGCCAAUUAAUUUAACUUGGGAGUCAGAACAUGGGUGAUAAGGUCCGUGUUCGAAAGGGAAACAGCCCAGACCACCAGCUAAGGUCCCAAAAUAUAUGUUAAGUGGAAAAGGAUGUGGCGUUGCCCAGACAACUAGGAUGUUGGCUUAGAAGCAGCCAUCAUUUAAAGAGUGCGUAAUAGCUCACUAGUCGAGUGACACUGCGCCGAAAAUGUACCGGGGCUAAACAUAUUACCGAAGCUGUGGAUUGUCCUUUGGACAAUGGUAGGAGAGCGUUCUAAGGGCGUUGAAGCAUGAUCGUAAGGACAUGUGGAGCGCUUAGAAGUGAGAAUGCCGGUGUGAGUAGCGAAAGACGGGUGAGAAUCCCGUCCACCGAUUGACUAAGGUUUCCAGAGGAAGGCUCGUCCGCUCUGGGUUAGUCGGGUCCUAAGCUGAGGCCGACAGGCGUAGGCGAUGGAUAACAGGUUGAUAUUCCUGUACCACCUAUAAUCGUUUUAAUCGAUGGGGGGACGCAGUAGGAUAGGCGAAGCGUGCGAUUGGAUUGCACGUCUAAGCAGUAAGGCUGAGUAUUAGGCAAAUCCGGUACUCAUUAAGGCUGAGCUGUGAUGGGGAGAAGACAUUGUGUCUUCGAGUCGUUGAUUUCACACUGCCGAGAAAAGCCUCUAGAUAGAAAAUAGGUGCCCGUACCGCAAACCGACACAGGUAGUCAAGAUGAGAAUUCUAAGGUGAGCGAGCGAACUCUCGUUAAGGAACUCGGCAAAAUGACCCCGUAACUUCGGGAGAAGGGGUGCUCUUUAGGGUUAACGCCCAGAAGAGCCGCAGUGAAUAGGCCCAAGCGACUGUUUAUCAAAAACACAGGUCUCUGCUAAACCGUAAGGUGAUGUAUAGGGGCUGACGCCUGCCCGGUGCUGGAAGGUUAAGAGGAGUGGUUAGCUUCUGCGAAGCUACGAAUCGAAGCCCCAGUAAACGGCGGCCGUAACUAUAACGGUCCUAAGGUAGCGAAAUUCCUUGUCGGGUAAGUUCCGACCCGCACGAAAGGCGUAACGAUUUGGGCACUGUCUCAACGAGAGACUCGGUGAAAUCAUAGUACCUGUGAAGAUGCAGGUUACCCGCGACAGGACGGAAAGACCCCGUGGAGCUUUACUGUAGCCUGAUAUUGAAAUUCGGCACAGCUUGUACAGGAUAGGUAGGAGCCUUUGAAACGUGAGCGCUAGCUUACGUGGAGGCGCUGGUGGGAUACUACCCUAGCUGUGUUGGCUUUCUAACCCGCACCACUUAUCGUGGUGGGAGACAGUGUCAGGCGGGCAGUUUGACUGGGGCGGUCGCCUCCUAAAAGGUAACGGAGGCGCUCAAAGGUUCCCUCAGAAUGGUUGGAAAUCAUUCAUAGAGUGUAAAGGCAUAAGGGAGCUUGACUGCGAGACCUACAAGUCGAGCAGGGUCGAAAGACGGACUUAGUGAUCCGGUGGUUCCGCAUGGAAGGGCCAUCGCUCAACGGAUAAAAGCUACCCCGGGGAUAACAGGCUUAUCUCCCCCAAGAGUUCACAUCGACGGGGAGGUUUGGCACCUCGAUGUCGGCUCAUCGCAUCCUGGGGCUGUAGUCGGUCCCAAGGGUUGGGCUGUUCGCCCAUUAAAGCGGUACGCGAGCUGGGUUCAGAACGUCGUGAGACAGUUCGGUCCCUAUCCGUCGUGGGCGUAGGAAAUUUGAGAGGAGCUGUCCUUAGUACGAGAGGACCGGGAUGGACAUACCUCUGGUGUACCAGUUGUCGUGCCAACGGCAUAGCUGGGUAGCUAUGUGUGGACGGGAUAAGUGCUGAAAGCAUCUAAGCAUGAAGCCCCCCUCAAGAUGAGAUUUCCCAACUUCGGUUAUAAGAUCCCUCAAAGAUGAUGAGGUUAAUAGGUUCGAGGUGGAAGCAUGGUGACAUGUGGAGCUGACGAAUACUAA